GCACUUGGACUGGGUCAUUAGAAAACCUCUGCCAAACCCACGCUAUGGAGCCUUCCCCCGCGUUUUCCAGCCGUGCGUGGGCCGGCCCUGCUCCCUCCCGCUAUCGCUCGCACCUGGCACACACUUGCGUUAGAGGUGGCGGCCGGGGACGGCCGGGCCGCGACAAUGGGGGCCGCGGAGCUGCGGACGGCGGGCCGCGCCUGCGCACUGACAGGCGGGCCCAGCCAGCGGGGGACCCGCGGGGAGGAGCGCGAGGGCGGCGGCGCUGCUGGGUCCCGGGGUUUUCUCUAGGCCCUUCCGGAAGCGCCGCCCCAUCUCGCGCGCCGGGGAGGGUCUCCCGCUCGCGACCCCGCCCCCGCCCCCGCCCCCACCCCCGGCUGCGGCCCGCUGGCCCCUCCUGCCCCGCUGCGUCCCCACCGCCCCCGGAACGGACGCGAGCCGCGGGGUCGGAGGCCGGGGGAGGGCGUGCGAUCGGGGAUGUGUCGGCGCCCGGCGCUUCUCUGACGUUAGACGCGGGAAACAGAAGACCUCGUUCGGUGCGUCUCUACCACCUUUCUCUUCCCAGCGUGGCCCCCUCCUGACGGUUGUUGUUUUAACCCUCCUCCAUGCAGUCCUCCAGUCUGCCCCCCCUCCUAACUGCCGUCUAGAUCCUAUCUCAAGGUGCUCGGCAAAAAGGGGGGCUCCCCGCUGGCCUGCGCCGGUCGUCCUCUCUAAGGGGUUUCUCGGUCCCCAGCACGGGGUGUCUUGUCUUCUCCAACGCCAACAACCUACCGGGCUCGGGUUCUCUGCCCCCGCUUUAGACGCCACUUAUGCUUCUGCCACGCAGACGACAAAUUCGUGGGUUCCCACCCGCACCCCUCCCGUGUGAUGAUUAAAGACCACUCGGAGCUCGGGCAAGGGCUUUACCCACCCGUGCGCUGUGACCAGUACACGUCUCGAUGCGCCGGUCGAUGGAAGAGAAGGCCGGAGUGGGGGUGUGCAGAGCUUCUGCGACUUUUGGACGGCCCCACCCUGGCAGCGCCCAGCCCUGAGCCUUCUCCUUGGUGGUUUUCAUCAUUUCAUUCGGAAUGGCCCAGAGUGUGUUAGUCUGUGUCCCUGCAUUUGGAGGACCCGGUGGACACGCGUCUGACAUCCCGUAGGAAAUCCAGUUGGAGUGACCAACUGCUUUGGUGGCAAGGCUGGGAGCAUGCAGCUGUCUGCAGUUCUUGUAGGGGUCCUUGAAUCCCACGUGGGUCAUGGGGGAGAAGAGCGGGCUGGCAACGAGUCACUGAGGGUCCUGCCGAAAAGGGCUACCUAGGAACGGAGGGAGGAAUGUUGGAUUUCUAGGGCUGAAAAAGAAGUUGCAAGUUAAUUCCCCAAAUCAAAUUGCAUGUGCCAGAAUUCUCCAAGUUGGAAAUCUCCAAAGAAAUUCCAAAAGUUGGGCGCCUGGGUGGCUCAGUGGGUUAAGCCGC